rnacentral:lncRNA from 10 species
CACCGCAAGGACUGGAGAAGGGCCAUGAGAGAAGCAGUACCUUAUAAUGGUUCCUUGUUCAAAGCACUCAAUAUUCCUAGGAUGUGGUCUCCCAGCUGACUUCAUAACUGAAUCAUCAGUAAUUAAUUUCAUUGUUCUAUUAGGACUUUACUGAAGACUCUAAGGAGGACCUGUAUCUGUUGGGAUCCUCAGGGCAAGCCACAGAAACAAGCUUUGGAUACUAGAAGCAGAAAAUGGAGAUAUUGAAGACUAUUGUGGAGUUUACUGUGAGCCAGAGAACCAGGCUGGGGGGCUGUAUCACUUAGAAUGAGAUCCAAACUCACACCAUAGUUCCAUCCUUGAGGUUGCCAUGUUGCUGCCACCCCUCCUGCCACCCCACCACUGAAGCUUUGGAUGCUGGAUUCUGGGCACAGCAGGGAGAAGUGUUGCUUAUUACCAUUUUAACACAGGUUCUUGCUCUGUUGCCCAGGCUGGAGUGCAGUGGUGUGAUCACGGCUCACUAUAGCCUCAUCCUGCUGCACUGAAGUGAUCCUCUUGCCUCAGCCUCCUGAGUAGCUAGGACUACAGGCACGUGCCACCAUACCCAGCUAUUUUUUUAAAAAUACAUUUUUGUUGAGGCUGGGUCCCCUUUGUUGUCCAGGCUGGUCUUAAGCUCCUGGCCUCAAGCAAUCCUUCCA